UACGUAGGGGGCUAGCGUUGUCCGGAAUCAUUGGGCGUAAAGAGCGUGUAGGCGGCCCGGUAAGUCCGCUGUGAAAGUCGGGGGCUCAACCCUCGAAUGCCGGUGGAUACUGUCGGGCUAGAGUGCGGAAGAGGCGAGUGGAAUUCCUGGUGUAGCGGUGAAAUGCGCAGAUAUCAGGAGGAACACCAAUUGCGAAGGCAGCUCGCUGGGACGUAACUGACGCUGAGAAGCGAAAGCAUGGGGGAGCGAAACAGG
rnacentral:rRNA from 1 species